GAUGAACGCUGGCGGCGUGCCUAAUACAUGCAAGUAGAACGCUGAAGCUUGGUGCUUGCACCGAGCGGAUGAGUUGCGAACGGGUGAGUAACGCGUAGGUAACCUGCCUGGUAGCGGGGGAUAACUAUUGGAAACGAUAGCUAAUACCGCAUAACAGUCGACAUUGCAUGAUGUUGAUUUGAAAGGGGCAAUUGCUCCACUACCAGAUGGACCUGCGUUGUAUUAGCUAGUUGGUGAGGUAACGGCUCACCAAGGCGACGAUACAUAGCCGACCUGAGAGGGUGAUCGGCCACACUGGGACUGAGACACGGCCCAGACUCCUACGGGAGGCAGCAGUAGGGAAUCUUCGGCAAUGGACGGAAGUCUGACCGAGCAACGCCGCGUGAGUGAAGAAGGUUUUCGGAUCGUAAAGCUCUGUUGUAAGAGAAGAACGAGUGUGAGAGUGGAAAGUUCACACUG
rnacentral:rRNA from 1 species